UUAGCGGGGAAAGUAGACCCUGUUGAGCUUGACUCUAGUCUGGCUUUGUGAGGAGACAUGGAAGGUGUAGAAUAAGUGGGAGAUCUCGGUCGCCAAUGAAAUACCACUACUUUCAUCGUUUCCUCACUUACUCGAUUAUACGGGGACUGCUCCUUUGUGGGCAUCAUUCUCGAAUCAAGUCCCCGGCCUCGCCGUCGGGGACGACCCGCUUCGAGGACAGAGCCAGGUGGGGAGUUUGACUGGGGCGGUACAUCUGUCAAACGAUAACGCAGGUGUCCGAAGGCCAGCUCAGCGAGGACAGAAACCUCGCGUAGAGCAAAAGGGCAAAAGCUGGCUUGAUCCUGAUUUUCAGUAUGAAUACGGACCGGGAAACCGCGGCCCAUCGAUCCUCUUGAUUUUAAGAGUUUUAAGCAAGAGGUGUCAGAAAAGUUACCACAGGGAU
rnacentral:rRNA from 1 species